CACUGGACCCACAGCACCGAGGCAACACGGGCCGACCCUUCCCCUCUCCACCCUCCCGCGCGGAGGCAGGCGGGGCGCGGCGCGCGUGCGGCCCCUCCGUUCCCCGAGCUCUGGAACGCUUCCUCCCAGCCUCGCAGCUCAGGCGGGUAAUGGCUGUGGCCCGUCCGCCUCAGCUGCGCUGCGCACGCGCAGUGAGGUUCCCCGUGAGCGCCUGCGUUCCUUCUCAAACUGAGAGAUGCCGCGGGAACGGAGGAGCUGAAUGAGAGCUGACUGGACAGCGGAAGCAACACCGGCCCGCGAGACCCGAAUGAAGCCAGACCGGAGAGCCGGAGUCUGGCCGGGCGGGCCGGUCUGAAAGUCUGCAUUUUCGUCCCAGCGGAAACCGCCGGCCCUGCCGCAGGCAGCGGCCACUGCGAUGGCAGUCGCGGCGGCGGCGGAGGAGAGACGGGUGAGGGAGGUCGCGGCGCGCAGGCUGGGCGCCCGGUGGGCGGAGAGCCUCCGGGCCGGCGCCUGGGCGACCUGCGGCGCCGCGGAGCCCUCAGGUGGGCGGGAGCCGGGAACGCGGGCUCGUGGCGUGCCAGGUGGAAAGUCUCCGGAGGGCUGAGGCCGCGCCUUUCUCCGCCCCCGAGGGAGCGGCUAAGCCUCGUAUGCAGCAGGCGCUCAAUGCAUUUAUUUACCGAAAUAUAGUUGUGAGCAUCUUUUCGUGGCUCAGCCUCACAAUCUUCUCCCCAGGCUCAGUGUUUCUUCCCUUUUCGUCGUUCCAUUGCCUACCUCAAUACCUUGUCGUGAUUCAGGGGUUCCACUUGGUUUGUGGAAUCAGAAUUCGAGGGCACGGGCCUGGGAGUCUUGUGUUUUAACAGCCUCUCAGAGUAGUUGACUGGCUAGCUUUUUAGAACGACUGUUCAACAAAUGUUUGUGAGCCUUCUUAGUGCCAGAUUUCAUUCCUGGCAAUGAAAUCCCUGCGUGAUUGAUUAUAAUGUUUUGCUCCCCUUUUUUUCUUCCUUUUUUAUCUCAUGCUUGGAUUUUCUUCCACGAUGGGGAGUCCCAGGCAUUGUUCUAGGCACUGGAGAAGAAACAGCAAUGGAUGAAAACUGAAAAAAAUCCCUGCCUUUUUGGAGGUUAUGUUCUAAUAGCAGAGGCAGAAGAUAAAGUUCAAGUUUGUUAGUGAAGGGCUGAAGAGAAAAAAAAUAAAGGCAUUUGAGAAAGGGAGAUAAGUGUGUGUAGAGGUAUGGCCUGUGAAAUUUUUCAUAGGGUUGCAAGCAUAGGCUUACUGAGAAUACUCGGUUUGGUAAAUAACUGUGGACCUAACAAGUAUCAUUUGAUUGCCAGACCACCUUUGGGUGCUUCUGGGAGAGGUUACAGAAUCUAGCUGGGAGAUAGAGAAAUACGACUGGGAAAACGCUGAACCGUGUGACAAGUUUCCUAGUCAGGAAAAGAGCCAGUCUAAGUGAGGUGGGGUUUGUUGGGCUCAUAGGCCAGUAGUGGAGCAAAUAGAAAUCAUUUGGACAUUUCUGUUGUAUAGUUUUGGGAAAGUUUAAGUUGACUUGACUCAAGGUCCGGUUCAGUCAGGGGGUAUUCUGUGGUCUGGAUUCAGUUUUGAUUGUGUAGUUUCUUAAGGGGGUAGGGGGUCAAGAACAGUUUAGAAAAGUGGGGAAGAGAUAUUCUAAGAAUAUGAAAUAGGAUUUAAUUAUGACAGUCAUGUUAUUUUGUAUUUGAUACAAGUCUGUCUCUGGUCCCAUGAUUUCUGUAGUUCUGUGAUUUUUCCUGCCCCCCCCACCCCCCAUCAGCUUACCUUUUGCUGUUCUUGUCUUACUUGGUCUUGUCUUUUCAGCAAGUUGACUUUCUCUUCUUGGCAGUUCCAUCUUCCCUUCCCUGUCCAGCAUGCAGUGCCGUUCUUUAAUCUCCUUUUCUUUUCUGUUUCCAGCAUUUGCUGUGGUAGCAUUGAAUCCCAUUGUUUCCUCAGAGGGCCAUGAAAACAAAGCAUGCUGCAAGCUGUAUAGUAACUACAAGGUGUGAGUGUCUGCCACCACAGGGUAUGAGAAACUCAGUGCUGUGGGCAUUUUGUCUUCCCUAGGUUCAGGUACAGGCAGACUCAGGUGACUCAGAAGUGGAGAAUGAAGCAAAAGAUGAUUUUCCACCUCAAAAGAAGCCAGUUUGGCUGGAUGAAGAAGAUGAAGAUGAGGAGAUGGUUGACAUGAUGAACAAUCGUUUGCAGAAAGAUAUGAUGAAAAAUACUGCUGAAAGUAAACUUUCAAAAGAUGAGCUACAAAAGAGACUUAAAGAAGAGUAAAUGUCCUUUUCCAUUUGUUUUAACAAGAGAUUCCAUCAUGCCAUGGGGGGAGUACCUGCCUGGGCAGAGACCAAUAGAUGGAAAACAUCUUCAGAUGAGGAGAAAACCUGUAAAAACAGAAAUAACUGAAAAUAGUCCAAAUGACGCAUGAACUCAUCACCGCUUUAAACUAUCAACCACGUACCCUGAGAGGAGAACACAAGCAACUGCCAACCGGAGAACCAUGGGGAUGCCUACCCAGUGCCUCUUACCUCUGUACCAUGAAUGCACAGAUGCCAGAGUAGGAGUUUUAAGUAAAAUUUCUCUGGACAUAAAAGUCUCCCAACCCGAAUGGAUACGAAGAACUGCCAACACGCUAACACUGAACGUCCUACCACUGCUCGGGUCUCGUCUGUGCAGUACCACCCCUGUGCACAGGUUGUGAUGGUCGCUGGACUAGAUAACGCUAUAUCACUCUUUCAGGUUGAUGGAAAAACAAAUCCUAAAAUUCAGAGCAUCUAUUUGGAACAGUUUCCAAUCUUUAAGGCUUGUUUCAGUGCUAAUGGAGAAGAGGUUUUAGCCACGAGCACUCACAGCAAAGUUCUUUAUGUCUAUGAUAUGCUGGCUCUGAAAGCUAGUUCCUGUGCAUCAAGGAAGAGGUUUUGAUUCCGUUGUUCUGAGGGGGGCCUGAUUCUGCGUUUUUAACAAGCUCUCGGAUGGUGCUGUUGAGGGUGUGGCUCGGGCCGGAGGGCUUGGGGCUAUAUUUCCAUGCUGGUUCUACCUGUCCCCGCCACGUGGAUACCUUGGUUAUGGUGCAGUCAGGGCUGAGAUGUUGGAGCUGCAUUACUGAGCUGUCUCCUUCCCUGGUGCAUGCGUGCACGUGCAUCAUGGUAAUGGUGGUCUCCUCCUUGGCUAGAGGCAUGGCCGGGCCUGAGCUGGCUCUGCUUCUUCCCCAGUGUGCACACGCAUGUGCAUGCUGGGAACGGCGGUCUCCACCCUGGCUAGUGGCAGGGCCUGGCCGAGCCAGCUCCGCUCCCUCCAUGGUACGUACGUACACCAGCAAUUGUGGGCUCUGCUCUGGCUAGAGGCAGGGCUGGGGCCUGAGCUGGCUCUGCUCCUUCCCUGGUGAGAACGUGUGCAUUGGCAGUGGUGGCCUUCUUCUCAGUGGGGGGCAGUGGUGGAGCAGGAUGUGCUGGACCCAGAGCCUGGUGUGUGCUGAGGGACCUGCUGGGGUGGUCCUGGCAGGCUGGCCAGAGCACAAGGCAGUUUUCUAUCUGCUACUGGGUCUGGGAUCCAGCAAGUGUGUGCGUAAGUCCUUCAAGAGCAGUCUCAGCUUAUUCCAGCCCUCUGGUAAGCCCUUCUUGGUUUUCAAACCAGGUAAAGGGGUUUAUCUUCCUGAUGUUGGCCCCUAAGGCUUGGUUUACUUAAUAUGUGGCUUGAACCCAUUGAUCCCCAGGGCGGAUCCCUGAGCCGCUCCUCUCUGGCUCACCUACCAGGGGUGUGGGUUCUUAAUAGAUUGCUUCUCUUCCCCUCCUAUCAGACUCCAUGUGGUUCUUUCCUUACAGCCUUGGUGGUAGAAGAGUCAUUCUGCUCAUUUUUGGAUCAUGAUCACUGAGGCUUGUUCUGUAUGUAUUUGUCGUUUUGAUUGAUUGAUGGGGAGGUGAGCUCAGGGUCUUCCUCCUCUGCCGUAUUGAUCCUGCCUCACCAGAGAAGGAUUUUAAAGAGUUGUUAUAACUCUUUUAACUCUCUGUCAAUCCCAGAUAAACCCAUCUUUGUUGGAGAAACAUCUGGUGGUCUUUGUCUCAGGUCAAUAGCCCAAUGGCACACAAGGAGAAUAAACAGAUGUGUCUGAACAGACAGAGAUAGAAAGGGUGAUAAAGAGAAACUGCCAAAGAGGUCAUGGCUGGGGACUUUCCAGAAGUGGAAAAAAAAAAAAUCCUUAGAUUAGGAAAAAUCUCACCACAUCCUAAGCAUGGUGAAAAAACAAACAAGCAAAAAAAAUCUAUACUCGUUUCACAUGCUAGUAAAACUUCAGAGCAUCAAA